rnacentral:rRNA from 1 species
GGGAAACUCACCAGGUCCAGACACAAUGAGGAUUGACAGAUUGAGAGCUCUUUCUUGAUUUUGUGGGUGGUGGUGCAUGGCCGUUCUUAGUUGGUGGAGUGAUUUGUCUGCUUAAUUGCGAUAACGAACGAGACCUUAACCUGUUAAAUAGCCCGUAUUGCUUUGGCAGUACGCCGGCUUCUUAGAGGGACUAUCGGCUCAAGCCGAUGGAAGUUUGAGGCAAUAA